UGUGUCUACAGUUUCAAGUUGUUUUGAGCCGCGCCUUCUAAUCUCCCUGUCAGACCAUUCACUUUCCCUUUUCUCUCGUUCUCCAUUAGGAGCGUGGUCUCCGCCAGAGGUGCCGCAGCUCUCAGAUAGAUGCGCAGGAUUUCAUGCAGUAAAAAAAUUUAUUAUUUUACUGGGAAGGUAGGUAGGUAGAGUGAUCAGUAGGAGGUCACGGCAAGGGCGCAGCCGCGACGGCGGCUCUCAUCGGGAGGCACCCCGAUUACUUGAGUGGUGAGCUUCAACAGCCAAUCUCUCCGAUCUCGAACUAGAAUCUAAGCACUAUUAUGAGCCUUAACUUUUGUAUGCACGUUCUAGCCCACUCUGUUGUGUUCAUUCCUUCUUAUUUGCAAUUAGUCUUGAUUUAAAAUUACAACUGAUGAGCCAAUUAUGUUCUUAAUUAACUUAUGUGCAAAUUACAUUACUUGAUCACUAUAAUUACAUUAGCAAUUGUACUGUCAUUUUUAUACAAUUAAGGUGUAACUAUGUUGGAUCUAUAAAAUUUUCCCAUAUAUUCUUUGCAUCUGCAGAGGCAGUAAAAAAUCUGUCAUUUUACUAACUAUAGCAUGAAUCUGUGUACUUGAAUUUUGAACUUUUUUUUGCAUUUGUGGGGUUUAGCACCAAAAAUUAUUUGUAUUUUACUGACCAUAGAAAGGAUUUGUGGUUUGUUAGUUUUUCAUUUUAAUCUUUUUUUGCAUAAUUAUUAUCUGAUCUCUGCAUUUUUCUUUUAUUUUGUUAUGGUUUUGUCUCGUCAUUUUUUUCUAAACCAUUUGUUAUCUCUAUUUUCCGCUUUUAAUCUGAUUCUAUUUUAUCCAAAUCUAACGGUUGGAACUCCCAGCACUCGAUUUUUCCUUUUCUGUUGAAUUGUGUGUUCUGUAUGCUAGCAUCACCCGAGUGUUGAGGUCUCCAGAAUUACUCGAGUUUUGUAUAGACAAAUCCAAGGUCCACUCAUCUGUCUGAAGCAUGGAGUCAAGCUUUUCCCUUUGUUUCACUUCUUCUUGGAGGGCGACGCACACAGUUUUGAAGCUUAGGUGAGGUGAUUUGACCCUCCAUUUGAUGAUUCAGAUCACAUUGUUCUCAUUUGGAUUUGCACUCUGCUUGUCUAGUGCAAUCGUUUUAUCCAAUAAAAUCAGUUCAGUUUCGUAUGUAGGAAAGGUUUAGUUAACUAUAGUUGUAUAUAAGGGCUUACUGUCUCGCAAAACUAGUUUGUUAUUUGACUGAGUAUAUAAAAGGUCUUUUAAGUUAUUUUUUUCUAGGUUUCACAUUUAUCUAAUCAUGCUAUUGCACAAAUGUUAUGCAUAAUUAAGCUUGCUAUCUAUUUCUCUAUUUUCUUCCAAAUUUCACACUAUUGUUGAUCAGAGGUAUUAGUCACUGUAUGAUAAUUAAAUUGUUUAGUGACCUAUUUUUCUAUAAUUCCUACUGAAUUGGUAUGCUUAGUCAUUUACAUUUAAUUAGUCACUAAGUUACAGUGUUGGAGUUACUGUAAAUUCUAUUUGUAUGUUUUGUAAUUUUGAAUCUUGGUAUAUUUGAAGGCUGUUUUUUCAUCUGAGGGGUUUCCACUAUCCCAAACAUAUUUGUUCUUUGGCUAAUGAUAGAAAAAUAUAUGUGCAAUUGUUCCAUUUGGUUAUCCUUAUUAAUAUAAUAUGUUUAUCUAUGUAUUUCAUUUGUGGUUGCUUAAUUUUUUUACAUUGGAUUUAUUUUGUUUUGAAUUUGCUACAUACAUGUCAUAAUCAUGAUUCUAAUUAUUUUUCACAUUUCCUUUGCAAAACUGUGCUUUUGGUGAAAACGCUUUUGCUAGGAGAGAUGUUAUGAUCAAUUGUGACAGUAUUUGCUAUCUGGGUAUCAAAGAUGGCCCUCAAGAUUGUCUGGUUCUACCCUAGUCUGCUACUGAAGAAAACAACAGGAGGUGAAUGACCACAACUCGUGCUUUGGAGGGGUAUUGUGGUUGUGGCCACAAUAGUAUGCCAUUUUUCAGGAUUGCUGUUGACCUAGGAUGCGGGUUUGAAUUCAUCCUUUGUCCAGAUAACAGACUACAGAUAUAUGAUGAACUCUGAACCAUAUUAGUAUGGAGUUA